rnacentral:rRNA from 1 species
UACGUAGGGGGCAAGCGUUGUCCGGAUUCAUUGGGCGUAAAGAGCGUGUAGGCGGCCAGGUAGGUCGGUUGUGAAAACUGGAGGCUCAACCUUCAGAGGUCGACCGAAACCAUCUGGCUAGAGUCCGGAAGAGGUGAGUGGAACUCCGAGUGUAGAGGUGAAAUUCGUAGAUAUUCGGAAGAACACCAGUGGCGAAGGCGGCUCACUGGUCCGGUACUGACGCUGAGGUGCGAAAGCGUGGGGAGCAAACAGG